rnacentral:sRNA from 1 species
ACGCGAGCCCGGUGCGGUUCCUGCGCGCCGCGCGCACCCGCCUGACAACCGCUCGCUACGUUUUAUGAGCU